AUGAACGCUAGCUACAGGCUUAACACAUGCAAGUCGAGGGGCAGCAUGAACUUAGCUUGCUAAGUUUGAUGGCGACCGGCGCACGGGUGAGUAACACGUAUCCAACCUGCCGAUGACUCGGGGAUAGCCUUUCGAAAGAAAGAUUAAUACCCGAUGGCAUAGUUCUUCCGCAUGGUAGAACUAUUAAGGAAUUUCGGUCAUCGAUGGGGAUGCGUUCCAUUAGGUUGUUGGCGGGGUAACGGCCCACCAAGCCUUCGAUGGAUAGGGGUUCUGAGAGGAAGGUCCCCCACAUUGGAACUGAGACACGGUCCAAACUCCUACGGGAGGCAGCAGUGAGGAAUAUUGGUCAAUGGACGAGAGUCUGAACCAGCCAAGUAGCGUGAAGGAUGACUGCCCUAUGGGUUGUAAACUUCUUUUAUACGGGAAUAAAGUGAGGCACGUGUGCCUUUUUGUAUGUACCGUAUGAAUAAGGAUCGGCUAACUCCGUGCCAGCAGCCGCGGUAAUACGGAGGAUCCGAGCGUUAUCCGGAUUUAUUGGGUUUAAAGGGAGCGUAGGCGGACGCUUAAGUCAGUUGUGAAAGUUUGCGGCUCAACCGUAAAAUUGCAGUUGAUACUGGGUGUCUUGAGUACAGUAGAGGCAGGCGGAAUUCGUGGUGUAGCGGUGAAAUGCUUAGAUAUCACGAAGAACUCCGAUUGCGAAGGCAGCUUGCUGGACUGUAACUGACGCUGAUGCUCGAAAGUGUGGGUAUCAAACAGGAUUAGAUACCCUGGUAGUCCACACAGUAAACGAUGAAUACUCGCUGUUUGCGAUAUACAGUAAGCGGCCAAGCGAAAGCGUUAAGUAUUCCACCUGGGGAGUACGCCGGCAACGGUGAAACUCAAAGGAAUUGACGGGGGCCCGCACAAGCGGAGGAACAUGUGGUUUAAUUCGAUGAUACGCGAGGAACCUUACCCGGGCUUGAAUUGCAACUGAAUGAUGUGGAGACAUGUCAGCCGCAAGGCAGUUGUGAAGGUGCUGCAUGGUUGUCGUCAGCUCGUGCCGUGAGGUGUCGGCUUAAGUGCCAUAACGAGCGCAACCCUUAUCGAUAGUUACCAUCAGGUUAUGCUGGGGACUCUGUCGAGACUGCCGUCGUAAGAUGUGAGGAAGGUGGGGAUGACGUCAAAUCAGCACGGCCCUUACGUCCGGGGCUACACACGUGUUACAAUGGGGGGUACAGAAGGCAGCUACACGGCGACGUGAUGCUAAUCCCUAAAGCCUCUCUCAGUUCGGAUUGGAGUCUGCAACCCGACUCCAUGAAGCUGGAUUCGCUAGUAAUCGCGCAUCAGCCACGGCGCGGUGAAUACGUUCCCGGGCCUUGUACACACCGCCCGUCAAGCCAUGAAAGCCGGGGGUACCUGAAGUGCGUAACCGCAAGGAGCGCCCUAGGGUAAAACUGGUGAUUGGGGCU
rnacentral:rRNA from 1 species